UACGUAGGGUGCGAGCGUUGUCCGGAAUUACUGGGCGUAAAGAGCUCGUAGGUGGUUUGUCGCGUUGUUCGUGAAAACCGGGGGCUUAACCCUCGGCGUGCGGGCGAUACGGGCAGACGUUGAGUACUGCAGGGGAGACUGGAAUUCCUGGUGUAGCGGUGGAAUGCGCAGAUAUCAGGAGGAACACCGGUGGCGAAGGCGGGUCUCUGGGCAGUAACUGACGCUGAGGAGCGAAAGCGUGGGGAGCGAACAGG
rnacentral:rRNA from 1 species